AUUUAAUCAAAGUUUACAUGUUUUUAAAAACUCAAAAUAUGAUUAUAUAAAUGAAAAAAUCUCUUUUAUUCAUUUUUGUCCUCAAAUUCAAAGUAUGAAAUUAGAAAAACCAAAGUUUACAUGUUUUUAUUCAUGAAGUGUAAAAAUCAAAGAUCCAGCUUAUGAUAAGCUUCCUUAAGCAUCUGCAGCUUAAUCCUUGGGUCUAGUACUGCUGCCAUAGCUAAAAUAAGACUGUACUCGUCCCAGUAUUUAGCAAACUUACUUUGCAUAUCCACAGCCAUUAAUCUUAUCUCAUUAUCCUUACACCUUGCAUACCU